rnacentral:rRNA from 1 species
UACGAAGGGGGCGAGCGUUGUUCGGAUUUACUGGGCGUAAAGGGCGCGCAGGCGGCUCAUUUUGUCAGGCGUGAAAGCCCCGGGCUUAACCUGGGAACUGCGUUUGAUACGGAUGGGCUAGAGUUCGGGAGAGGAUAGCGGAAUUCCCAGUGUAGAGGUGAAAUUCGUAGAUAUUGGGAAGAACACCGGUGGCGAAGGCGGCUAUCUGGACCGACAUUGACGCUGAGGCGCGAAAGCGUGGGGAGCAAACAGG